rnacentral:rRNA from 1 species
CCUACGGGUGGCAGCAGUGGGGGAUAUUGCACAAUGGGGGAAACCCUGAUGCAGCGACGCCGCGUGGGUGAAGAAGUAUUUCGGUAUGUAAAGCUCUAUCAGCAGGGAAGAAAAUGAAAGGACCUGACCAAAAAGCCCCGGCUAACUACGGUCCAACAGGCGCGGGAAUACGUAGGGGGCAGACGUUAUCCGGAUUUACUGGGGGUAAAGGGGGCGGAGACGGGUAGGUAAGCCGGGAGUGAAAGCCCGGGGCCCAACCCCGGGACUGCUUUUGAAACUGUGUAACUGGAGUACAGGAGGGGCAGGCGGAAUUCCUGGUGUAGCGGUGAAAUGCGUAGAUAUCAGGAGGAACACCGGCGGCGAAGGCGGCCUGCUGGACCGAAACUGACGUUGAGGCUCGAAAGCGUGGGGAGCAAACAGGAUUAGAUACCCCGGUAGUC